UGCUGUACUUGUGCCUGUGGAGUUCCAUU
rnacentral:piRNA from 1 species